AAUGACUUGCUCCGUGCUAGGGU
rnacentral:siRNA from 1 species